rnacentral:ncRNA from 1 species
AACAUAAUCUCAGAAAUCAAUAUCUCUUAUUGAGAUUUGAACUUCUCCUACAAACCUCGGUUCAUCGCACCGAGGUUUUU